rnacentral:rRNA from 1 species
AGGGAAUAUUGCGCAAUGAACGGAAGUUUGACGCAGCGACGCCGCGUGGGUGAUGAAGGCCUUCGGGUUGUAAAGCCCUUUUCUGGGGGAAGAGACAGGACGGUACCCCAGGAAUAAGUGUCGGCUAACUACGUGCCAGCAGCCGCGGUAAUACGUAGGACACGAGCGUUAUCCGGAUUUACUGGGCGUAAAGCGCCUGUAGGCGGUAGGACAAGUCGGCUGUGAAAGCCUCGGGCUCAACCCGGGGAGGCCAGGCGAUACUGUCGUACUUGAGGGUGACAGAGGGGAGUGGAAUUCCCGGUGUAGCGGUAAAAUGCGCAGAUAUCGGGAGGAACACCAGUGGCGAAGGCGGCUCCCUGGGUCACGCCUGACGCUGAGAGGCUAAAGCUAGGGGAGCGAAC